GACGAACGCUGGCGGCGUGCUUAACACAUGCAAGUCGAACGGAAAGGCCCUGCUUUUGUGGGGUGCUCGAGUGGCGAACGGGUGAGUAACACGUGAGUAACCUGCCCUUGACUUUGGGAUAACUUCAGGAAACUGGGGCUAAUACCGGAUAGGAGCUCCUGCUGCAUGGUGGGGGUUGGAAAGUUUCGGCGGUUGGGGAUGGACUCGCGGCUUAUCAGCUUGUUGGUGGGGUAGUGGCUUACCAAGGCUUUGACGGGUAGCCGGCCUGAGAGGGUGACCGGCCACAUUGGGACUGAGAUACGGCCCAGACUCCUACGGGAGGCAGCAGUGGGGAAUAUUGCACAAUGGGCGGAAGCCUGAUGCAGCAACGCCGCGUGCGGGAUGACGGCCUUCGGGUUGUAAACCGCUUUCGCCUGUGACGAAGCGUGAGUGACGGUAAUGGGUAAAGAAGCACCGGCUAACUACGUGCCAGCAGCCGCGGUGAUACGUAGGGUGCGAGCGUUGUCCGGAUUUAUUGGGCGUAAAGGGCUCGUAGGUGGUUGAUCGCGUCGGAAGUGUAAUCUUGGGGCUUAACCCUGAGCGUGCUUUCGAUACGGGUUGACUUGAGGAAGGUUGGGGAGAAUGGAAUUCCUGGUGGAGCGGUGGAAUGCGCAGAUAUCAGGAGGAACACCAGUGGCGAAGGCGGUUCUCUGGGCCUUUCCUGACGCUGAGGAGCGAAAGCGUGGGGAGCGAACAGGCUUAGAUACCCUGGUAGUCCACGCUGUAAACGGUGGGUACUAGGUGUGGGGUCCAUUCCACGGGUUCCGUGCCGUAGCUAACGCUUUAAGUACCCCGCCUGGGGAGUACGGCCGCAAGGCUAAAACUCAAAGGAAUUGACGGGGCCCCGCACAAGCGGCGGAGCAUGCGGAUUAAUUCGAUGCAACGCGUAGAACCUUACCUGGGUUUGACAUGGAUCGGGAGUGCUCAGAGAUGGGUGUGCCUCUUUUGGGGUCGGUUCACAGGUGGUGCAUGGCUGUCGUCAGCUCGUGUCGUGAGAUGUUGGGUUAAGUCCCGCAACGAGCGCAACCCUUGUUCACUGUUGCCAGCACGUUAUGGUGGGGACUCAGUGGAGACCGCCGGGGUCAACUCGGAGGAAGGUGGGGAUGACGUCAAGUCAUCAUGCCCCUUAUGUCCAGGGCUUCACGCAUGCUACAAUGGCUGGUACAGAGAGUGGCGAGCCUGUGAGGGUGAGCGAAUCUCGGAAAGCCGGUCUCAGUUCGGAUUGGGGUCUGCAACUCGACCUCAUGAAGUCGGAGUCGCUAGUAAUCGCAAAUCAGCAACGCUGCGGUGAAUACGUUCCCGGG
rnacentral:rRNA from 1 species